rnacentral:rRNA from 1 species
UACAGGGGGUGCAAACGUUGUUCGGAAUGACUGGGCGUAAAGCGCGCGUAGGCGGACCAUCAAGUCGGGGGUGAAAUCCCGGGGCUCAACCCCGGAAUGGCCUUCGAGACUGGUGGUCUUGAGUUCGAGAGAGGUGAGUGGAAUUCCGAGUGUAGAGGUGAAAUUCGUAGAUAUUCGGAGGAACACCAGUGGCGAAGGCGGCUCACUGGCUCGACACUGACGCUGAGGCGCGAAAGCGUGGGGAGCAAACAGG